rnacentral:rRNA from 1 species
UACGGGGGGAGCAAGCGUUGUUCGGAUUUACUGGGCGUAAAGGGCGCGUAGGCGGCCUUCUAAGUCGGACGUGAAAUCCCUCGGCUUAACCGGGGAACUGCAUCUGAUACUGGAUGGCUUGAGAUUGGGAGAGGGAUGCGGAAUUCCAGGUGUAGCGGUGAAAUGCGUAGAUAUCUGGAGGAACACCGGUGGCGAAGGCGGCAUCCUGGACCAACACUGACGCUGAGGAGCGAAAGCCAGGG